ACCACUCCCUUUGCACAAAGGAGAAAGUGAGGCCAGAGAGGGGCAUUCCUGGGCAAAGUGGCCAGCUUCCCAGGGGCGUGGCCGCCUUCCUGCCUUUGCACCAGCUGGGGCCCCUGCCGGAAUAUUCUUCCUCUGCCGCUCGCUCGGCUGGCUCGCUGCUCAGGCGCCACUUCCUCAGGGACCCUUCCGGGCUGGGAGGGCGAGGUCAGGCCCUGACACUCCAGCUCAGCGCCCAGCAGUUUCCUCUUCUAUAACCUCUUCCCUGCCAGCUCCCACCGCUCUCCCGGCUUUACCUGGCGCUGAGGACUUGUGCCAUGUGUGUGUGAACCAGCCCCUGCAGGGGCCCCGAGUCAGGGAGACACACCCCCCCCCCACUGCAGGUGCACACGGCUGGGAACAUCUCCUCCCUCCUCCACAGCUGCACUUCUGCAUUUCGUUGGAGGGAUGACUGCAUUGCUGACGAGCAUCGUCUUCUCUAGAACGGUACGAGAUCGGGCGUCAGCACACCUCCACCACGAGGGCAGUUGGGCAAUGGCCCUUGGCCCUCCAACUGCUAACCCCCAUGACUGGCCAGGCCCUUCGGGGAAGGACGCCCCUCCCCGCCCCGCCCCAACUCCGUGCAGCAUGACGUCUCACCAGAGGGUUCGUGGCAUAGUUGGCACCAGCCCAAGAUGGAAACAACCCAAUGAUGCAUCACCCGAGGCCUCAUCAAAUUCACCAGGAUCCAUCCAGACAGAAUAUUCUGGAGCCUUGAGAGAGGCAAAAUGAGACACGGGACGUCACGGAGGCGGCAGGACAUGCUGAGGACCGUGCCAGGAAGAGGCUGAGCUAGGUGUGUACCGGAGCCGCUUCCCCUGGUCACACAGCGCCUGGUCCCAAGUCAGGAGAUGCGGUUGCUGCUCCUGGCCCUGCCCUCUGACCUGAGAGCCCGCAUCAGGCCUCCCGUUGCCCUGGUUGGUUCUGGGUUGUGAUCCCUCAGAGAAAGGGUGUGGAGCCCUGGCCUGGCCCCCUGUCCUCACACCAGCCUGGAGCCUAGGCUGGGCAGUAGCCUCGUCCCAGGGGAGCAGGCUGCGGGACAAGCUGGGGGGAUCCCCUGGCGAUCGUGCCUCCCUGCUCAGUGGAGCAAGGACGCAGAUCCCCAACAGCCAAGCCCUUGUCUCUCACUCUCUUACCCCGUGCUUGGCACAGACACCCUCAGUGCAGCUGGGUUGAGCGAGUGACCCAGUGGUCACACUAUCCAGCACUCUCAGGUCUGGCAUCCUUCGGAGCGAUGAACUUAUGGUAACUGUAGUAUUCACGUAAGCCACUGCGGGAGGGCCUACUAUUAUUCCCAUUUUACAGAUAAGGAAGUGAGGCUCAGAGAGGUAGAGAGCCUUGCUCGAGAUCACACAGCAGAGCUGGCCUUUGAACCCAGGGCUUCUGGCUCCAGAGCACACACUCUUAACCACAAGUCCCCACUCCCAGGGCAGCAGGGAGCCUGCAGUGAGCUGGGCCCCUGGCAGGUAGUAGGUGCUUUUCCUUGCCUCCCCUGCCCCCCCACAUCGCCCAGCGCCUGGAUUCAGAUUUCGGCCCAGCCUCGAGGUCAGCAGCCCGUUCUGCCCUGAACCGGGAGGAAUGUUCGUGGUGGCCUCGGCCCGGGUCCGAGAAGAAAGGCAGCCUUGUGGGCGAAAGUCUAACUAACUCGUCCGCCAGGCUUCCCACCCUGAACACCAGCUCCAAGAGGGAGGGACAAGGCUCGUCCGAGGCAAAAACUUCCUGGGACACAGUAGGGACUCUGCGGAUAGAUGGAAAGUGGACCCUCCAAAGCCCUGAUAUCUGGGUAGCAGUUGGGGACAGAGAAUCCAGAUGCUGAAAGUUGGCCACCGAGGGGGAGGCCAGAGGGAAGAGCAGGCCCCCAAGGCCACCGGCUGGAGUUUCCUGUACCCGGCAGCUCACCCGAGUCCCUCCAAGCAGCUGUGCCCCUCGCCCCCUGGGCCCACGUCACUCAGGUCCUGGCUUCAUUACACCAGAGCUUCUCUC